GUGGCCCUAGUAAAUUAUUAUAUAGCUCUGUCAGUGCUAAGUUAUAGGCAUAGCCUAUGCGCCAUA
rnacentral:tRNA from 1 species